AUGACUCUACGGUAUAAGGUUCCAUUGGAGAUGAUGCAUGCUGCAAAUGUUCUGUUCGGAGGGAUAUACUCCAAGAACUACAAAAAGCUUAACCGAGGCUACAACAUUUUAAUGACUGUGGCAAAGGUCUUUGAUGACACCAACUUGAGGAAGCUGUCGAAGGCUAUGGCUGUGGACCAAAAUGAUGUAUCCAUAUUUAAUUUUGAUACUAGGUGCAUUAACUGGAGCUCAUACCUCGUGAACACCAAUAUUCCGGCUGCUAUAAAGUAUGCCAACAACCAGAAGGCGAAAGCAGGCAAUGCAUAAAAUAGAUUUA
rnacentral:lncRNA from 1 species